AAACGAAAUGCAGGUCAAGACAAUUUAGAAUCAGCAGAUAAAGAAAUAGAUUUGAAUAUGUUAACAGAAGAUUUAAAUGAACAGUGUAACAAAGUAACAGAGAGAACAUGCUCUCAAUGUAACUUUGAGAGAUUGUCAGAAACAGUCUGUGAACUAGAGGAUAGAAUUGAAUUAAGAAAUGAUCUUAUUUGCCAUGUGAGAAAUGAGGUAAAGCAAGUGUGUGUUAAUACAAGAAAAAUACAGGCACAGAAUCUAAUCCCAGAACCAACUGAUACUGAAAAUGUAUCCUCACAGAGUGAUUUG